UACGAAGGGGGCUAGCGUUGCUCGGAAUCACUGGGCGUAAAGCGCACGUAGGCGGACUCUUAAGUCGGGGGUGAAAUCCUGGAGCUCAACUCCAGAACUGCCUUCGAUACUGGGAGUCUUGAGUUCGGGAGAGGUGAGUGGAACUGCGAGUGUAGAGGUGAAAUUCGUAGAUAUUCGCAAGAACACCAGUGGCGAAGGCGGACUCACUGGCCCGAUACUGACGCUGAGGUGCGAAAGCGUGGGGAG
rnacentral:rRNA from 1 species